UUUCUCUUUCUCAGUCGGGCUC
rnacentral:miRNA from 1 species